rnacentral:misc_RNA from 1 species
ACCAGAACGUGUAACCUUCAUCCAUACCAAAUGUAUACUGUUCAUACCAGAGUUUUCUCAAGCUUUUCUUAUUUUAUUUCAUUAUUUUUUUAGAUAAUGUUUAUAAGUAUUGGAAAUUGUGCUACUCGUGUAUAAAAAUUAAAUAAUUACAAGAUCCAACUUAUGAACUUGUUUGUUUUUAUUAUCAAGGGAUUUUAUAAUGUGCAAUAAGUCAAACAAGGGAUAAGCAUGUUGUAUUCAAAUAUCGUAAAUAUUGUUAUGGAAUUUUUGGAAGUUGUGAUUCACCAGUUGUUGUACGUUAAAAAAAUAUACCCUGAUGGAAUAUUUCUGACAAAACGGAAGUACGGAGUUCCUAUUCAUGUGUCAGCAUAUCCACCAUUAAAUGAUUACAUCAGUAAAUCGCUUUCAACCAUCAAAUUUAUUUUAGAUAAAAAAGAUUUACAACAAUUGGAUAUUUGCUUUUAUGAUCCUAAUUCUAAACUAAUUGAAAAAAUUGUUUUUUAUUUCAAUAAAAUCAUCACUGGACCUCAAGAACUUGUGGAAGAUCCAUAUUUAGUCCAUCUUACAGAGGUUUUAAGAGCAUUUUGUUUAAAACUCACAGUCAGCACAAAUUACACAACACCUUUACUUGAAGGAUCCACGUUUAAAUUUUGCAUACACACAACGGAGUCUACAUCGUAUAUUUUAUCUGAAGAUGCUGAACAUAAGGAGUUUCCAUGGUAUGUGACAGAAAGUAGAGAAAUUAAUAUCGACGACAGCACAAUAACACCAAUUCGUACAAUAGAGCAUGAAUUUAUGAACAUCGACAUUUACUGCGAGGAAAGUUCAUCGAAAUAAAAAAAAGCAUUGUGAUUGAAUGAAGGUUUCUUCGGGUGAAAGUUGCCGCUGAUUGUUAUGGCCCUAGCAACAGCCAGUUUGCUCAAUAAUUUUUACCGUUGAUAUUUUACAUUAAUGUUUUUUGAUAGUCAAAAGUUAAAAUGAGUGGUAUGGACUUAGAAAGAUUAGCCUCUGAGUUAAAAUCUGACAAAGCUGCAAGGGAUGCACUUAUUGAAGAUAAUAAACGACUUGAAGCUGAAGC